UUAAGAGCUUGCUCUUAUGAAGUUAGCGGCGGACGGGUGAGUAACACGUGGGUAACCUGCCCAUAAGACUGGGAUAACUCCGGGAAACCGGGGCUAAUACCGGAUAAUAUUUUGAACUGCAUGGUUCGAAAUUGAAAGGCGGCUUCGGCUGUCACUUAUGGAUGGACCCGCGUCGCAUUAGCUAGUUGGUGAGGUAACGGCUCACCAAGGCAACGAUGCGUAGCCGACCUGAGAGGGUGAUCGGCCACACUGGGACUGAGACACGGCCCAGACUCCUACGGGAGGCAGCAGUAGGGAAUCUUCCGCAAUGGACGAAAGUCUGACGGAGCAACGCCGCGUGAGUGAUGAAGGCUUUCGGGUCGUAAAACUCUGUUGUUAGGGAAGAACAAGUGCUAGUUGAAUAAGCUGGCACCUUGACGGUACCUAACCAGAAAGCCACGGCUAACUACGUGCCAGCAGCCGCGGUAAUACGUAGGUGGCAAGCGUUAUCCGGAAUUAUUGGGCGUAAAGCGCGCGCAGGUGGUUUCUUAAGUCUGAUGUGAAAGCCCACGGCUCAACCGUGGAGGGUCAUUGGAAACUGGGAGACUUGAGUGCAGAAGAGGAAAGUGGAAUUCCAUGUGUAGCGGUGAAAUGCGUAGAGAUAUGGAGGAACACCAGUGGCGAAGGCGACUUUCUGGUCUGUAACUGACACUG
rnacentral:rRNA from 1 species